rnacentral:misc_RNA from 1 species
GAUGAAGAACGUAGCGAAAUGCGACAAGUAAUGUGAAUUGCAGAAUUCCGUGAAUCAUCGAGUCUUUGAACGCACAUUGCGCCCCCUGGUAUUCCGGGGGGCAUGCCUGUCCGAGCGUCAUUGCUGCCCUCAAGCACGGCUUGUGUGUUGGGCCUCCGUCCUCCUCCCGGGGGACGGGCCCGAAAGGCAGCGGCGACACCGCGUCCGGUCCUCGAGCGUAUGGGGCUUCGUCACCCGCUCUUGUAGGCCCGGCCGGCGCUUGCCGACACAUCAAUCUUUUUUCCAGGUUGACCUCGGAUCAGGUAGGGAUACCCGCUGAACUUAAGCAUAUCAAUAAGCGGAGGA